AAAAACAUGUCUUUUUGAUUAUAAUUUAAAGUCUAAUCUGCUCAAUGAGGAUUUAAAUUGCCGCGGUAUUUUGACCGUGCAAAGGUAGCAUAAUAAUUAGUUUUUUAAUUGAAAGCUGGAAUGAAUGAUUGGACGAGAUGGUAGCUGUCUCUAUAAAAUUUAUAUUUAAAUUUAACUUUUGAGUUAAAAGGCUCAAAUAUUUUUCAAAGACGAGAAGACCCUAUAGAGUUUAACAGUUUUAGGAUUGUUUAGUUUGUUGGAAUAUUAGAAUCUUUUAAUCUGAUGAUUGUUUAGUUGGGGUGACUUGAAGAUAAAAUUAACUCUUCUAGAAUUAUAAUCAUUGAUUUGUGAAUUUUGAAUCUGGGUUUCAUAAAUAUAAGAUAAAUUACCUUAGGGAUAACAGCGUAAUUUCUUUUUAGAGUUCUUAUUGGAAAAGAAGAUUGCGACCUCGAUGUUGGAUUAAAAUUAAUAUUUGGUGUAGCAGCUGAAUUAUUAGGUCUGUUCGACCUUUAAAUUUUUACAUGAUCUGA
rnacentral:rRNA from 1 species